rnacentral:rRNA from 1 species
UGGGGAAUAUUGGACAAUGGGCGAAAGCCUGAUCCAGCAAUGCCGCGUGUGUGAAGAAGGCCUGCGGGUUGUAAAGCACUUUCAGUGGGGAAGAAAAGCUCGAGGUUAAUACCCUCGGGUCUUGACGUAACCUACAGAAGAAGCACCGGCUAACUCCGUGCCAGCAGCCGCGGUAAUACGGAGGGUGCGAGCGUUAAUCGGAAUUACUGGGCGUAAAGCGCGCGUAGGUGGUUCUGUAAGUCGGAUGUGAAAGCCCAGGGCUUAACGUUGGAAUUGCAUUCGAUACAGCAGAAAUAGAGUAUGGUAGAGGGAAGUGGAAGUUCCGGUGUAGCGGUGAAAUGCGUAGAUAUCGGAAGUAACACCAGUGGCAAAGGCGACUUCCUGGGCCAAUACUGACACUGAGGUGCGAAAGCGUGGGGCGCAAACAGGAUUAGAUACCCCCGUAGUCC